AGAGUUUGAUCAUGGCUCAGAUUGAACGCUGGCGGCGUGCCUAACACAUGCAAGUCGAGCGGUAACAGGUGUAGCAAUACAUGCUGACGAGCGGCGAACGGGUGAGUAAUGCUUCGGAAUCUACCCUCUAGUGGGGAAUAACCAGCCGAAAGGUUGGCUAAUACCGCAUACGUCCUACGGGAGAAAGCAGGGGAUCGUAAGACCUUGCGCUGAUGGAUGAGCCGAAGUCGGAUUAGCUAGUUGGUGAGGUAACGGCUCACCAAGGCGACGAUCCGUAGCUGGUCUGAGAGGACGACCAGCCACACUGGAACUGAGACACGGUCCAGACUCCUACGGGAGGCAGCAGUGGGGAAUAUUGGACAAUGGGGGAAACCCUGAUCCAGCGACGCCGCGUGUGUGAAGAAGGCCUGCGGGUUGUAAAGCACUUUUAGUGGGGAUGAAAUGUGCAGGGCUAAUACCUCUGCAUUUUGACCUAACCCACAGAAAAAGCACCGGCUAACUCUGUGCCAGCAGCCGCGGUAAUACAGAGGGUGCAAGCGUUAAUCGGAAUUACUGGGCGUAAAGCGUGCGCAGACGGUUAUAUAAGUCGGGUGUGAAAGCCCCGGGCUCAACCUGGGAAUUGCAUUCGAGACUGUGUAGCUAGGGUACGGAAGAGGGAAGCGGAAUUUCAGGUGUAGCGGUGAAAUGCGUAGAUAUCUGAAGGAACACCAGUGGCGAAAGCGGCUUCCUGGUCCAGUACCGACGUUCAGGCACGAAAGCGUGGGGAGCAAACAGGAUUAGAUACCCCCGUAGUCC
rnacentral:rRNA from 1 species